GGGGCCAGGAUGGAGGGGGCUGGGUCUCUGCCGGCUCCACCCAAUCCGAGGCGGGUCUCCCUCAGAGAGCAUCGGCCUGCCCCCCAGGACAGCACCCUAUUUCCCUUCGCAAAGACCCUUCCUUUUAUAACUGGGGCAGUUGGUCACGCCCCCAAUGGGCACAUGAUCCAAGCUCAGCCAAUCAGCAUUAUAGCCCCUGGUUUCCGCUUUUGGGGGGGGGUCAUACAUAAGCAUGUGACCUCAGCUAGACCAAUCAGUGAUGGUCUUGAGACUGUUGCUAGUCCGUGGAGGAAAGCCUGUUUCCCCUGGGGAAAGCCCGAGGCUGCCCUACCCAAAGCUGGGUGGCUGAGGCAGGAUGGCUGCGAGUUGGAGGCCAGCCUGAGCUACAUAGCAAGGCCCUGUCUCAAAAAACAAAACAAAACAACAAAAAAGAACCAAGAGCUGAUAUUUGAAAGGGAGAGUUUACCUGCUUCCCUUGGCUGCUCGGGAACACCACGGCAGUGCUGGCACAGGGUGUGGGUAGGGGCGGCCACAGGUGCCGCGCAGCCCUGGAAAGAAAAGGCCAGGGUCUCGCUACGUAGCCCAGCCUGGCCGUGGACUCUCAGCGAUCCUCCUGCCUCAGCCUCCUGAGCGUUGGGACUCAUGGCCAUCAGGUCAUGCAGGGCGUGUCCUGGACAUGGAGGGCCGUAUGUUACCUGCUCAGGCCGAGGUACCCCAGGGCGCCCAGCAGGAGGAUGGUCACAAAGCUGCCCAAGGACGCGGACAGGACAGGUACGUGGGACACCUGAGGGGCUGGGGUGCGAGAGUCCGGGUAAGUGGAGCGCUGGGAGGCUGGGACAUCGGUG